rnacentral:rRNA from 1 species
GACGAACGCUGGCGGCGUGCUUAACACAUGCAAGUCGAACGGAAAGGCCCUGCUUUUGUGGGGUGCUCGAGUGGCGAACGGGUGAGUAACACGUGAGUAACCUGCCCUUGACUUUGGGAUAACUUCAGGAAACUGGGGCUAAUACCGGAUAGGAGCUCCUGCUGCAUGGUGGGGGUUGGAAAGUUUCGGCGGUUGGGGAUGGACUCGCGGCUUAUCAGCUUGUUGGUGGGGUAGUGGCUUACCAAGGCUUUGACGGGUAGCCGGCCUGAGAGGGUGACCGGCCACAUUGGGACUGCGAUACGGACCAGACUCCUACGGGAGGCAGCAGUGGGGAAUAUUGCACAAUGGGCGGAAGCCUGAUGCAGAAACGCCGCGUGCGGGAUGACGGCCUUCGGGUUGUAAACCGAUUUCGACUGUGACGAAGCGUGAGUGACGGUAAUGGGUAAAGAAGCACCGGCUAACUACGUG